AUUGAACGCUGGCGGCAGGCCUAACACAUGCAAGUCGAACGGUAACAGGAAGCAGCUUGCUGCUUCGCUGACGAGUGGCGGACGGGUGAGUAAUGUCUGUGAAGCUGCCUGAUGGAGGGGGAUAACUACUGGAAACGGUAGCUAAUACCGCAUAAUGUCGCAAGACCAAAGAGGGGGACCUUCGGGCCUCUUGCCAUCGGAUGUGCCCAGAUGGGAUUAGCUUGUUGGUGGGGUAACGGCUCACCAAGGCGACGAUCCCUAGCUGGUCUGAGAGGAUGACCAGCCACACUGGGACUGAGACACGGUCCAGACUCCUACGGGAGGCAGCAGUGGGGAAUAUUGCACAAUGGGCGAAAGCCUGAUGCAGCCAUGCCGCGUGUAUGAAGAAGGCCUUCGGGUUGUAAAGUACUUUCAGCGGGGAGGAAGGGAGUAAAGUUAAUACCUUUGCUCAUUGACGUUACCAGCAGAAGAAGCACCGGCUAACUCCGUG
rnacentral:rRNA from 1 species